rnacentral:rRNA from 1 species
AUGAUCUUGCUUCAUUUAAGGUACAAAACACAUCUCCAAGAUUACCACCUCUCCAUUGUUUAUCCUUUGAUCACGAUGACACCCCUGAUUAAGCAUGCAUUUGUUUGUUGUUCACAGCAUGGAAAGAACAAAAAUGAUGUGGCAAGCUCCGUGGAAUGUUACAUCAGUGAGCACGGCGUGGCAAGUGAGGAUGCCAUUGCCAAGACAGGGUCUCUGAUCGAAGAUGCAUGGAAGACUACGAACCAAGCACGCUUUGAGCUCCCUGAGCUGCUGCUUCCGGCGGUGCAGCGGGUCGCAAAUAUAACGAUCAACAUACCUUUCAUGUAA